UCACACAUUUAUCCAAGGCAAAUCAUCUCGUAACAUCGCUUUCCAUUAAUUCACGGCACGUAUCGGAAUCUGUUGCAAGGAUCGAGUAUUUCCACGAUAAUUCGAGAUCAGGUAACGACGACAAUGUGAAUGUGUCAGGAGAGUUGAUUAAAAAUGGUCUGACACGGAUAUGAGAAAAGUGGCGAGUAGACGAGCUGAUGAUGAACGAGGAACGAGCAAUACUUUAAAAAAAAGGGGUGUUUUGCUGCCUGAGGUGACUUACCCCUGGACAGUGUCAUGCCUAGAGUACGGAAUCGUAAGCAACGAUCGAUUAUGAGCCCAGGAGGAGAAGACCACACAUUCGAAGGUUGGGAUCUGGAAGAACAGUGAUCUAGAGCACGAGUUCCUUGGUAACCGCUGCGAGAUAUUGGAUUCAGCGACUGUAUCGAUGUGCUGUGGCCACUUUAGUCCAAGAGGAAUCCUCUUUAAAUUGCUCCGUGCGCCGCGGUUGCACUGAGUCUCCGUCGCUUUACAACCUCGACUCCUCAUUCCUUCCUUUUGUCCUCGUUUAAUGCCUGUUUUUCCUCUUUUCUCCCUUCUUCCGAACGUUAUCGCGCUCUUCUUCCAAUUCCUUUUUAUAAAUCCACGAAUAGAAUCCCAAACUUAUCCUUUUAAUAAUACGGUUCUAAUAAUAAUUUGUAAUAGCUUUUAUUGAAUUAUUCAAUGAAGAAGAGAUAAAACAGGAAGAGAGACUGGAAUAAAUUUUGUUGUCCAAGAAAGCUUGCAUUAACGAGCACAGCUAUCGUGUUCUUUGUUUUCCUGGCGUCUUAUCUUCAUUUUUCGCUGUUUAGGAGAUGAUAGCUGACAGAAACGCGACUGCUGUUCCUUAU
rnacentral:misc_RNA from 1 species